AUUGAACGCUGGCGGCAGGCCUCACACAUGCAAGUCGAGCGAGCGGCGGACGGGUGAGUAAUGUAUGGGGACUGCCCGAUAGAGGGGGAUAACUACUGGAAACGGUGGCUACUACAGCAUACUGGCGGAUAACCCAUAUGGGAUUAGCUAGUAGGGAAGGUAAUGGCUUACCUAGGCUACGAUCCCUAGCUGGUCUGAGAGGAUGAUCAGGCACACUGGGACUGAGACACGGCCCAGACGCCGACGGAGGCAGCAGUGGGGAAUAUUGCACAAUGGGCGCAAGCCUGAUGCAGCCAUGCCGCGUGUAUGAAGAAGGCCCUAGGGUUGUAAAGUACUUUCAGUCGGGAGGCGUUACCGACAGAAGAAGCACCGGCUAACUCCGUGCCAGCAGCCGCGGUAAUUC
rnacentral:rRNA from 1 species